UACGUAGGGCGCAAGCGUUGUCCGGAAUUAUUGGGCGUAAAGAGCUCGUAGGCGGUUUGUCGCGUCUGCUGUGAAAUCCUCAGGCUCAACCUGGGGCUUGCAGUGGGUACGGGCAGACUAGAGUGCGGUAGGGGUGACUGGAAUUCCUGGUGUAGCGGUGGAAUGCGCAGAUAUCAGGAGGAACACCGAUGGCGAAGGCAGGUCUCUGGGCCAUUACUGACACUGAGAAGCGAAAGCAUGGGGAGCGAACAGG
rnacentral:rRNA from 1 species